UGUCUCCUGUGUUCCUUCUAAUAUUUAUUACAGCUAACAACCUGCAGCGUGCCUGUUUAUGCCUAUUGCCCAGGGGAUACUGCCAUAUUUCCAUCUCAGUUUCGUGACUGUUCCUCCCCACAGCCAGACAGGAGACAGACAGUCUCUCCUCUGGGCACCUCGGAAAAGACACAGGUGUGGAGGGUGAUUGAUGGCAGAGCUGGACGGAUGAGACCACCUGAGAGUCACAGCCACAGACAGGAGAAGAGGCAGGUGAUGGGGGGCACACGCUGGAGAGCAGGGGGGAGCAGGCAGAACACCCCCGCGGGGAGAACGCGCCCCAGCCCAGCCUGACGAAGCUGAGCACAACAUGACUCACUCGCCGGAUCCCAGACCCUGCGUCAGCACAGCAGGAACCAAGGGGAGAGGUGAACUGCAUCUCUGGUUGGUGCCUCUGUCAACUCCGCUGAAAAAAAGAAAGCAAGGUCCCAAACCAAGUUCUUCUGAAGAGAAGCAGAAACCUCUAAAAGGAUUUGUAUAUUGUGCCACAGAAUGGUUGGGGUUGGAAGGGACAUCUAGUCCAACCCACCUGCUAAAGCAGGUUCACCUGGAGCAGAUCGCACAGGAAUGUGUCCAGGCAGGUUUGAAUGUCUCCAGAGCAGGAAACUCCACAGCCUCUCUGGGCAGCCUGUUCCAGGGCUCUGGCACCCUCGAAGUAAAGAAGUUUCUCCUCAUAUUCAGAUGGAACCUCCUGUGCUUCAGUCUGUGCCCAUUGCCCCUCUUCUGAUCAUCAUGCACCACUGAAAGGAGUUUGGUCCCUCCUCUUGACACCCACCCUUGAGACAUUUAUAAGCAUUGAUGAGAUCCCCUCUCAGCCUUCUCUUCUCCAGGCUGAACAGACCCAGCUCUCUCAGUCUCAUAAGAAAGAUGCUCCAGACCCCUCAUCAUCUUCAUAGCCCUCUGCUGGACUCCCACCAGUAAUUCCUUGUCCUUCUUAAACUGUGGAGCCCAGAACUGGAUGCAGUACUGCAGAUGUGGCGUCACCAGGGCUGAGUAGAGGGGAAGAGAACCUCCCUUGACCUGCUGGUCACACUCUUCUUGAUGCACCCCAGGAUACCAUUGGCCUUCUUGGCCACCAGGGCACAUUGUUGACUCGCAGUCAACCUGUUGUCAACCAAAACUCCCAAGUCCUCUGUGGUGCUGCUUUUGUGCAGUUUUAUAAGAAAGUGUCAUUUUCCCUAUGUCGUUGUUCUUCUUUUUAAACUUUCCAGGAAAGCAAAUCCAAUGCCUCAGCUGUUAGUCUCUACCUAGUACAAAGGUUAAUUUCCAGAUGAUGAGAUAGGUUGCCUGUUCCUCUUCUCUGCACAGGGUUGUUUGUUUUUUUUUUUUUUUUUCCAAUCUCACAAAGGAGGAAAGUGAUCAAAAAAGGAGGACUAUCCAUUUUGCUUCUUGGCUAUCCAUUUCAGUCGUAGUUUGAAAAUUACCAGUGUUCAAUUAGAGUUAUCCUUCUUAAACAACACUAAUUGAUAAUAGCACAAGCAGGCAAAAUAAACACCAUAAACCUCACAAAUGUUUGAGAUAUCUUGAAUAUCAUACUCUAGAUGCAAGGUAAAGCCAGAACAAUCUAGAUGAGGGGAGAUCAUGGCCUGAAGCUUCCCAUUUCUCUGACUACUUAAUACAGACAAGCCUCAUUAAAACAUACUGUAUUUUGAAGUCCUCUUUCAACAAUGAUGGCCUCAAGGAGAGCAGGUAGCUUCUUUCAAUUAGUUCUGCUUUUCUUAAUUCUCUCCAGCAAUCACACUUCAAAAAGAAUCAAGUAAUUCUGAUCAUGUAAUCUCUUAGAGUCUGAAUAAAUAACAGAGGUAAGAGGGAGCUUCUUAAUGCACUCAAGCAAAAAAAAGGGGCUGUAAUGUAACAAAACUGGAUGAACAGGUAUGGGAAUCAUUCUAGUUUAAGUUAAAGGGAGAAGAGUUUGGUCCAGUAAAGCACAGACAUUACAAAUAGAACAUGCAGGGUCAGAAAUAAGACCAACGCUCUUAAUUUUCUCUGGCAUCCAAUGAAUUCCAACAUCUUUUUUCUUUCCUUAUCAAACAAAACUUACUUGCCAUAGAGAAUGACUCACAUGGCAGAGUUUACCUGCCUUUCAGUGUAGAAGACCUGGAAAAGUAAAUCACAAUGGCUGGUUCCUGAUCUACACACCCGUAAAUAUGAUUUUCAGAAGCUGCAGCCCCACAGGUGCAGUAUUAAACCAGCAAAGGGUCACUGCAGGGCCACCAGUUUGGUGAGUCAAAAAGUUCCAUGGCCUCUCCCUUUCAUUACUCCUAAUUCUUUUGGCCUAUUUGCUCCCCAAAUCACAGUACUCUGAAAGCCAGAACAACUUUUUACCACAUUUUAGGACACCUGUGGAGAAAGUUUAAGAGCUGAUGAAUAAGAUGGAAAUGGAAGUGGGCUCAGUUGCCCUUACCCCUGCUCUUCAGCAAGUCACACAUGAAUGUCAGGCAGCACCUGAUGUUGCUCUUUAAACAGCUGCACUGCUCUGUAACAGGACAGUGAAAGGUACCUCGAUAAAGUUAUCUUGUCACAAUCCAGCGUUUCUCGGUAACUCAGCACACAAUAGAUGGAAGUUUGAUUAAACAGCAGACAAACAAUGAAAAGCCCACCUGGAACUGAGAUGGCUGUAAGUUCUGGGGGUUAAUUGUACUGCGGAGAACCACAAAAACAUGACACAGUAAACAGACCUGGUUCAAUAAGGCUUUUACUAUCUUCCUGUACCCACACACCUUUGUGGAAUAUGGCUAAAGUGCCAGCUCAAUUUUCCCACCCAUCUUGCUUUGGUAUGGAAUCAGCGCUGGUCGAACCUCUUCCUUCAAGAACUUUGCCACCUGUUCAAGAAAGAUGAGAAAGAGAAAAUUAGAAAGAGUUCCCUUCUCCUCCCCAUUCAGACCUGCUUGUCUCAGUGGGGUCUGUUUCACAGAGACACCUGGCAGUCUGAUGUCCAGGGUCAAAAAUGUGAAGCCCACAAGGAAAGAUAAGAAAGCCAAGAAAAACCAAAGAGAGAAACGUGUCUGCCUUAGUGGUAUGGGCAGAGGUACACAAUAUGGACACUCUCUGGUACACAAGAGGAUGCAGAUUGCAUUACAACCUGUAACACCCAUAGCCUCUUUCCACUACCAUACCUGCUGAGGAGCACGUCCAGUGAAGGAAGAGGGAUCCAACAGGCUUUCAAGUUGUUUAUGGAUAGGGCUGAAGUAAGGAUCAGCUUGGACACGGGCAAUGAAGUCAUUAUCACCUCCUUCCUGUUUCACAACAGCGGCUGCUUGCUGGGAGAGAACACGAAUCUUCUCAUGGCAAUCCUGUAGGAGCAGGGGGAAGAUGAAGGGAAAAGAAAAAUCAUUCAAUUGCUACUGACAGCACACAUGCAUCUUGCUAACUUGUGCACUGCACUGGACAGCAUGCAAAUGAGACACAGCUUGGAACACAGUGUCUUGUAUACCACUAUAUUAAACCAAGAUUUUCUUCAUCCUUCUGGAUCUGCCCUUUGAGGCUAAAACAGUCUGAAUGACAUACAUGUUCCCUGUUCAGUUAUACCACAAACUUGUGACACUGGAAUCCUUUCCACUUCUUCAAACUCCCCAAAUACUCUUAGGAGUCAUUAUAGGAUUUUUUUUCGGUUGUUCUGUUCCUUACUUGCAUGAUUUUCCCCAAGACAGGCUAUAGUAGCCAUUCCCAAAAUAUUCUAUGGACUGUAAUAAAGGAUUUCCUUAUCCACCACUAAUCAUCCCCUACAUACAACAUCCUGGGUGCAUUACAAAGUAAAAUCUCUACAGGUUUGGAAAAGGGAAAAGAACCCGUCUAUCUUAAUGAACAGUGAGACUAUGCAAACCAUAGCUUACCUAAGGACAGGAUGAAGGGAAGAAAGAAACCUUAUAAACCUGAAGGCCUUAAGACAUCUCUUCCAAACAACCCUCACAUGACACUAAGACUGGCAAAACCCUUAAAACAAUUUUUAAUUGUUUAAUUACUUCGUAAUCCCUUGAUUUCCUGUGGAAUCAAUCUGUAAAAACAAGGGAACCCAACUGUAGUCAGGGACCACCUGCAAAAGCAGAUGCCACCAUGCUUGCCCUAAAAUACAGUCAAAUGGUUGCAUGUACAGCCAUGUAAGAAUCUCCUCAUAUAUAUUAUCCCUGAUCUACCUCCAAUUAGGAGGAAAAUGAUCUCCUGUUCCUUGUUUCCUCUAUCCAAGAGCCAUCUUGCUCCAGCACUGACCUCCCUCAGGUGAACAGAUCUGUCUUCUGCAUCUUUAGAGAAGGGAGCUGACCAGUGGUGGGGAAAGGAACUGAGCUUCUAUGCUAUGAGGUGAGAAAACAUAGAAAAUGUGCCAUUCUGGCGUUCCCAGUGCAUGAAAACAGGACAUACCAAUGCAAAUAAGAACAGAUUUUAUAAAUGUAUUAAACUCUAUAGAUUUGUAAUUCAACAGCAUCAGAAAGAAGGUAGGUGAAUAACAAACACAAAUGAAAUUCACUGUUCAAUCUAAACAAAAUAUAAAGGACUGUUUAGGUGAGUACGGACAUUUCAGAAAGAGAACCAGCUGAAAAGAUAAUGAAACUUAUUCACAUGAUGUGACCCCUAAUAAGUUUAGCCAGGAAACUUACUGACUGACUCAGUGACAAACAUCAGAGACACACGGGAAAAAAAUAAAAAAGGAAAAAGGAUUUUUCCUGACUAACAUCACAGGUGAGUUGUCAGAAAUGUUUCAGAGAACCAGAACCACAUACCCUACUCAAAGCUUCUAGCAAACCCUUUCACUAUUACUAUCUUGCAAGUUUAACUUUUGCCCCUGAUAUGGAAAUAAUCAUAGAAGGAAAAAUUACUAUAGAAGGAAAAAUUACUAUCUAAAGUUCAGUGAAAAUAAGCUGUUCUAUUGAGACGUAAAUUUGUUUAAACUUAAUUGUGAAAUUAAAUGAUAAAGAAAUAUAAUCCAAUUUUCUCUGUAUUUAUGUACUAAGGAAAAACACUUAAUUUCAAUUUGCUUGAAUACAGAAAACUGAAUGAGGGGCCAUAAACAAAGUUAAGAAUAAAAAGCACUAUACUGAAUGAAGUGACACAUAAAUGAAUGGUUCAGAAUGUCUGUCUUGCUUUUUUGUUAACAGCACUGAUUCAUUCGUUUAAUUUGUAAGGUAGCCAGCCGCCAACACGUUCCAUUUAAAGAAGCCUGGCCUGUGUUCCAAGUUCCUUCAAACAUUUACAAGAGGAAAACGCCUACCAGUAUCUAAUAUAAAAAUAGGCCUCCCUCUUCUCCAACAUAACCAGCCAGAUUAGCUCAAACACACAGUGUUCCCAACAGUAAAUAUGGAUCUCCACAACUGCUCUCUCCUCAGAGAGCAGUGUCUGGGUUUACAGCACCAGUGUCAUAUUAAUAACUCUGUGGGAACAGGUGUAGAACAAAGAGGCGUGAGAUGGUCAGGAGAAGAGCCCCAGGUAUUUUUGUUUCUCAGGAGCAAAAUGUCAGGCAGUGAACAAAGGUAUUUUUGACUGCUCUUGUACCUGACGAUUGCCCCCUGCUUUCACCAUUGCCAUGAUUAUGUUCUCCGUGGCCAUGAAUGGCAGCUCCUGCUGGAUCCUCCUCUGAAUCACCUUAAACAAAACAAAUAGAAAAAAGAAACAGAAUUAUAGCGAUUCUGUAGACAACUGGGACUCCCAGUGAACUUUUCCUCUCCCUUUGAAUCUCUAGGACUGGAUAACGAUACAAAUAAAUCUACCUUUUUUGAACACAGCUAUGGAAAUCCAGGUAUUGAAGCUGACAAUAGUUGGAAUAUAUAUCUUUUAAGGGACAUUACCGUGAAAAAAAUAGAAAAUUAGUUUUUUUUAACCUGUAAGUAAGUUACAGGUCUGUACGACAUCUGCCUUUACAGUAUAUUUUGGUGAUAAGUUCCACAGAUCUGUCAUGUAGUUCAGGGAAAAAUGUUCUUUUUGAGAAAUUUUUCAUUUACUAUCAUUUGGCUUCAAGAAGCGCCCUUUCAUGCCUGUUCUGCAAACAGUGAGAAUACAGUAAGAAUGAAGAGGAAAAUUCAGAAACUGUUUGAACUAACAGAUGAAAAUGUAAUCCUUUGAGUGGAAGGAUUUUUAUACACUUUGGCAUAGCUGCAGCAUCAUCAAGGAUGCAACACUGCACACAUUAUCUCCUGCUUUACCUUUGGAUAUACCACAAGUCCCUCGGAGAUAUUCUGCAGAGUACUGAGGAUGAUGUCAGCUGUGAGGAAAGCCUCAGCCAGACAGACGCGCCUGUGAAACACACAUACCCAGGGCCCCAGUUAGCAAUAAAGGCCACGUUCCCCCUCUACCUCAGCUCCAGCUCUUUAGUUUCUGUAAAUAAUUCUGUAAAUAGCACUACUGUGGCCCUACAGCUGGAACUGUUCUUAUAAGUGCCUUUUGUUGCUUAAAGUCACAACCAGGGAUGCUAGAGAACAUCUGACAGCAGCAGCUUUCAAGCUGGGGAGACAGGAGCAUUUCAGGCUAUUUUCUUUUUUUUUGGGGGGUCAGUAGAGAAAGAGUGAGAGGAAAAGAAAGGGUAAAGGUGCACAGAGAAAGCUCCAAGAUAAUUCAAUGAUUACACAGCUAGGAAAGAGGGCAGCAAGGUACAGAGCUGAAAACAUGAGUCCAUCUUCCCCUGUGUUCUGUGUUGCCCUGUCCACUGAUCCCACUCUCCAGGAGCACGACACACUGCACUGUCACGCUGUGCCUGGCUGUGCUCGUUGCAGAACUCUCAAAGAGAUCCACGCAUUUGGUGAAGCUCCUCACAAAAAGGAAUAUCAAAAGGAAAGGAGGGAAAGGAGAAAAGUAGUGGGGACUGAGCUGUAUCAGGUGAAAGGCUCUGUGUCACAGUGCAGGAAUUACAGCAUCAUCAAUCCGUGACAGCAGUGUCUGGCCCAUCUAAACUGUGACCUCUUAAGAAAUACUAGUACUUGAACCUUGUAGUACAUUUAAGGCCCCCAAUUCUAUCACAUUGUCCUCAAAAGGACUUUACUGUUUUGUAGGUUGAUUGCAUUUUCUCUGGCUUGCUCUCCUUUCAAAACAGUAUAGCUUUAACAAGAAAAACCCAUGGCACAGGAUUUUUAAUUGGAUUAUGAAGUGGACAAAUGACCUUUUCUUUUAGAUGAGAUGAAAAUAAAAUUUGAAACAUUCCAGUUCAUCUCUCAACACUCUUGGGAAAUAGACACACCACAUCAACCAGUAUCCAGUUUCUUAAAUUUACAUUGUUUUCUGUUGCCUAUUCAGCUCUUUUCUUAACAAGAUUAGCAGCUGUGGAAUAAAGUCCUUUUGGGAAAAGAUCUUGAAUGCUUUCAUGAAAUUUUAUGCAGACAUUAUGUUUGUGGAUAUAUUUUAAAAUAUAACAGUCUCAUCAACAAUCUGAACAUUAGUCUAUACCCACAACUGCUGUUGUUCAUUGUUUCACAAGCCCCCUAUCUAAAAAAUCUAAAGAUCUAAAGAUUUCUAAGAUUCUAGGAGAUCAAAUUCAGCAACAGCAGACUACUUUGAAACAGAAACAUUUCAAAGGUAAAUAUGAGCUUUAUGCAAAUUUAUUACAAACUGGAAGAUGGAAGUAUUGAAUUUAAUUGCUAUAAUUUACUUGAAAAUAAUUAUAGAUAACUUGUGCUUAUCUCAAAAUAGUCAUAAUGGAGAAUCAGAAAACAGGAAAGUUUGUUGAGCAAUAUCUAAAAGACCUGCACAAGUUUUCAUGAAACUGUACUUCAAAAAUAACAUUUGUGCUCUCUCUUUAGGAUCUGAACUACUUCUUGUAAAGAACAACACUACAAAUUGAUGAAAAUAAGUUUCUUUAAAUUAUUUUGAGGGUUAAGGGAUUACAGAUAAAAUGUCAAAUUAUUCUUUAAGGAGUGAAGAGGAGCAGGGUCAAAAAACACAUUUACAACAGACACGGAGGAAAAUGUGAGAAAUGUAAGAACUGCUAUAGUAUGCUGUUGAAACAGGAAGACGAGCAAUUUAAUACUGUGGCUUCUGUAUCCCUCUCUCUCUCUGCUCUUUUACUUUGCAGAAGAUCUUGAUGUUAACAAAACCUAACAGUUUUCAUCUGAUCUAAGAGAGGAAACCAGUUUGUAAUCUCUAGAUUAUAUUGAGACUGCUUUUCAUCAAGGUGGUAACUUGUGGUUUUAGUUUAAAAAUAGCAUUUUCUACAUACAUCAGAAGACCUUCUGAAAUUGCUGCAUCGCACGAUCUAAACAAACCUGUUGGCACUGUCAUCCAACGUUCGCUCAAACCACUGCACGGAGGCUGUUUGGAGGGGAUCCAGCACCAGAGUCAUCAGGUGUCGAGCCAGGCUGCAGCAGCGUUCUGAGCGCAUUGGAUUCCUCUUGUAAGGCAUCGCGCUUGACCCUGUGAAAGGAGAAAGAGUGACAGAAAUGGGACAUAGAAGCUGUGCAUUCAGGAAGAAGAAAUGGAGGUCAUCCUCCAGAUAAGAAAAAUGUGUCAGGAAUCAUGUUUUUGACUAAAGCCUCAAAACACAUUGAUUUUCUAAGGAUAAAAAGGAAUAAAGAAAAUAGACACCACCAUACUUCCCCUUCAGAUCAGAAGCACCCAAAUGUGGGGAGAAACAAUUGAGAAGACAUUUUGCAAUUCCACAAAACAGAUGAAGUACUACCACAUAAAAAGAACAAAGUGACUUAAUUUUUAAUGCAGUAGUUAGCACCAUCUCUCUAGACUACCCACAGCAACUUCAGCAGUGAUCAAGACCCCAUCUCCUCAAGAACAUUGUCCUUCAAAGUCAGAUACUUAUACUGCUGCCCAUUGUUCUGGUGAAUGGAUAUCAAAAGCAACAACAGAAUGUAGAAUGAUUCAAGUAACAAAUGCAACUAAGGCUUAAUUUGCCAAUAUGCAACUAUUUAGGGUGCCUGCCUGAACUUUCUUCCAGCCAAGAGCCAAAACUCUACAUUUCCCUCUCCUACCAAUGUCAGAAUCAUGUCAUUGGUAUUCUUCUGGCAAGGGUCCAGCCAAGUUUUGUUGGUCUUCAUAAACAGACAAAUUUGGAACAAAAUGCUGAGUCAAGCUGAAAACACAUAGCUCCAGUUAGCUUCAUGAGGAAUGGAAAAUACUAAAUACUCCUCAGACCCAAGUCUUCCUCUGUGGGCAAUAUGUGACUGCUUCUGCUCUCCUCCCAAGCCCAGAAAGUAUGGAAAUACAAAUCUGAUUUUAAUUACUUAAUAUCCAGAAACCUUUGGGUAAAGUGCAUUUUUUUUUUCCUUUUAAAAAGGCCCAAAAUACUAAAAAUAUCAAACCUCAGUUCAUUUAAA